UUCCACUGUCAUUCUCUCAGGCAGAGCUCCACAAAUGAAAGUGAAGAGUGAAUUACUUCAAAAUGAUAUAUUAUUGCUUCCUUACCACACACCAGGUCAUUGGGUUCUUGCGAAACUUCAUCAAACGAUUAACUAGCAAAUCCUCAUCUGAUUGGAAGAGUAAAAUUGUUCAGCAUCCCAGACAAAGUGAUGGCCACAACUGCGGACCACUCAUCUUAAAGGUAUUGAA